UGCACCUGUGCAUGCUGGGGUAGCAGCAGCCCGGGAGGAUUCCCUGCCAUAACAUUUGUCUGUGAAACACAUACUUUCUCCCUGAGGAAACGGGCUUAUGUCAACAAAAAUGGAAACUUCAAAAAAAAUCUGCAUAGUGCUGGGAAAAGCUAAGCAUCUUUGCUCUUAAAAGUGUGGGGUGAUUAAUUUUGUGUGCCAUAUUCCUCACACACACAUUCUUCUUCUUUUGCCAAAAGCUGAAUGUAACUGGCAGCCUGUGAAUGUCCAUAGUUGCCAGACAGCUUAAAAUUGAGAUACUGUGAAAUGCAAACAAAUGGAAAUGUUUCUCCCUUGUGUAGAAAUGUAAGAAUUAUUAAGCAUUAAAUAACACUUGAAAAGCAAAUCAUUUAAGAUGGUCAGAGAUGAACCUGAGGUUGUUCUCGUGUACACACCUGGAGGAGGAGUUGAGUUCGAGUGGCCUGGACAAGAGGGUUCUGCCCUACAAACUGAAUUUGUGCCCCCUCUUUUGGUUAGUGAUGCAGCAGCUUCCUGAAAUAGCUGUAGUAAGAUGUAAUCCUUCACAUAGAUACCCUCACAUGAGAGUAAUUUAUAUUCACAUAACUUACGUUUUUUCCAGAUGGAAGUGAAUCACACUGAUCUGAAAUACCAUUUCUGUUGAUGUAGAUGUGUCCACACAGGGAAAGGUACAGCUCAGCCACAACAGGGCAAAGUGCACCGGAGCUUCAGAAGUUCAGGCAGUAGGGGAUCUGUUGUCAUCUUUGCCAAAAGUCUGCCAGUGUUUCCAGCGGAUAUUUUGUGUUGGAAGGAAGAAAUGUCUCAGCUAAGCCUGAAGGCACCUGUUGGAAGGUGCUCUAAAACACAAGGAUUGUCGAUAGCAGGGAUCAGUCUGUGCUGGUGGCAGAUGUUUUAUGCCUGAUAAUGACUGGAAGGAAGAUUUCCUACCAAGGAACUGUCAAGCACAAGAUGUCUGCAGUGUAUUAAGAGCUUUAGAAAUAAAAUACCAGGUUGUGAUAGAGGUUUUCUUUAUGUGAAGUUUCUCUCUCGUCAAAAU